CCCUUAGAUGUUCUGGGCCGCACGCGCGCUACACUGACUGGUGCAACAAGUGUCGCUCCUUGGCCGAUAGGCCUGGGCAAUCUUUGAACGCCAGUCGUGAUGGGGAUAGAUUCUUGCAAUUUUUGAUCUUCAACGAGGAAUUCCUAGUAAACGCGAGUCAUCAACUCGCAUUGAUUACGUCCCUGCCCUUUGUACACACCGCCCGUCGCACCUACCGAUUGAAUGGUCCGGUGAAAUCUCCGGACUGGCGUGAGUCGGAGCAAUCUGACAAACACCGGAAAGUUGAUUAAACCUUACCAUUUAGAGGAAGGUGAAGUCGUAACA
rnacentral:rRNA from 1 species